rnacentral:tRNA from 2 species
AAAUGAAGGAUUAUUCCAUCCACCCCUAA